UACGUAGGCAGCAAGCGUUGUUCGGAAUUACUGGGCGUAAAGAGUGUGUAGGCGGUUUUCUAAGUUUGGUGUGAAAUCUCCCGGCUUAACUGGGAGGGUGCGCCGAAAACUGGAAGGCUUGAGUGUCGGAGAGGAUAGCGGAAUUCCUGGUGUAGCGGUGAAAUGCGUAGAUAUCAGGAGGAACACCUGCGGUGUAGACGGCUAUCUGGACGACCACUGACGCUGAGACACGAAAGCGUGGGUAGCAAACAGG
rnacentral:rRNA from 1 species